CUUUACUGUAGCUUUACAUUGGACUUUGAACAGAUCUGUGUAGGAUAGGUGGGAGGCUAUGAAGCGGUGCCGCUAGGUGUCGUGGAGCCAACGUUGAAAUACCACCCUGGUGUGUUUGAGGUUCUAACCUUGACCCGUUAUCCGGGUUGGGGACAGUGUAUGGUGGGCAGUUUGACUGGGGCGGUCUCCUCCUAAAGCGUAACGGAGGAGUUCGAAGGUACGCUAGGCACGGUCGGAAAUCGUGCUGAUAGUGCAUAGGCAUAAGCGUGCUUGACUGCGAGACUGACAAGUCGAGCAGGUACGAAAGUAGGACUAAGUGAUCCGGUGGUUCUGUAUGGAAGGGCCAUCGCUCAACGGAUAAAAGGUA
rnacentral:rRNA from 1 species